ensembl:lncRNA
UGUCAUUAUACCAGAGAACGGCAGAUGUCCAGAGGAAUGAUGAUGUCGGUGAUCAAGAGCUCCUGGCUGUGAAGUUGGCUCCAAGGACCCAUUCAUCAUCCUCACUGACCAUCGGAAUCUGGAGUACUUACGGACAGCGAAGAGGCUGAAUCCGCGCCAAGCAAGAUGUGGAUAUCCGCCAGGCUCUGGAGAGGGAGCCCACACCCACUACCUGUCCUGAGUGCAUCUACGUUCUCACGGGGAUCGGCUGCUGACCUGGGAGCACACAGCUGUCGUCGUUGGACAUCCAGGUCGCUGAGUCAUUAUGGCCUUCCGGAGGACAUCAUCUCCAACCGUGGGCCCAAAUUCACAUCACGGGCAUGGAGAGCCUUUAUGGAGAAGCUCAUGGUCACGGUCAGCUUCACUUCCGGGUAUAGGCCUCAGUCCAACAGGCAGGUGUAGAGGAGGAACCAGGAGCUGGGGAGGUUCCUGAGGAGUCACUGCCAGGACCGGCAGGGAGAAUGUCAUGUCUACUCCCGCUCCUCCCCUCCAGCGUUCGAGCUCGCCGGUUUACUAACCACCAGUCCUGGGAAGCAUCAUCCCGCGCACGUGCACUUCAUCAUUACGCACACCUGGACUCCAUUUCCUCCCCUUUAUCUGACACUCCCUUAGUUUCUUUCCCCAGGCAGUAUUGUUUUCUGUUGUUCAUAUCUAGAUGCUACUCCUAUGUUGUAUCAUUACAUGUUUCUUGUUAUAUUAAUCUUACUACCUGCUUCUUGACUCCCAGAGUCUACAUUACAGUAGAUUAAAAUCAAAACUGUAAUCUGGCCACUCAGGAAUUCACUGUAAAUAACUCCAGUACAGAUUUGGCUUUGUGUUUUAGGUUAUUGCCCUGCUGAAAGGAGAAUUCAUCUCCCAGUAUCUAGUGGUAAGCAGACAACUAGAUUUUGCCUGUGCUUAGCUCCAUUCCGUAAUUUUUUUAAAUCCUGAAAUACUCCCCAGUACUUAACGAUUACAAGCAUACCCAUAACAUGAUGCAGCCACCACUGUGCUUGAAAACAUAGAGUGUGGUACUCAGUAAUGGAUUUGCCUCAAAAAUAACACUUUGUCUUCAGGACAAAAAGUGAAUUCCUUUGCCACAUUUUUGCAGUAUUAGUGCUUUGUUGCAAACAGGAUGCAUGUUUUGGAAUAUGUUUUAUUAUGUACAGGCUUCCUUCUUUUAACUCUGCAGUUACUCCACAAUACUAACAUAAUUGACAAUGUUGCUGUCAGUUUUCUCCUACCACAGCCAUUAAACUCUGUAACUGUCUCACCGGUUACUAGGAGUGGUGGGUAGGAGUCAGGUGCAGAGAGCAGAGGAUUCAGUGAUUAGUAAUAUUUAUGUGCAAGAAUAGUGUUUAACAUGAUUUUUUUAUGACUACCUCAUCUCUCAUCUCAAAUAAUGCGCGGGGUAAAAAAAUAAAUAAUCUUAAACACUAUUCUUGCACAUAGAGUGAGUCCAUACAACUUAUUAUGUGACAUGUUAAGC